CAGGGGGCUGUCCCAGCUGUUCCAGCUGUUCCAGAUGUUUUCCUGCCUCUCCUCGCAGCCCCCAGGGGAGCCGGCAGCGCUGGAGGAGGGCGGAUACCUGGACACGGUCCAUCCCAAGGUCCGGAGCAAUUUGGGAAACCAGGAGGGCACUGCCAGGGGGACGCCAGCGCAGCCCGGGGCUGUCGCUGGGGACAUGCGACAGCAGCUGGAGGAGCGCGAGCAGGCGCUGCAGCUGGCGCGGGACACGAUCCAGGUGAGCGCAUCCCAAAUCCCGGGGCCGGGAGCGACCCUGGAGGGACACGGGGACAUCCCGGGGGGACACGGGGACAUCCCGGCGGGACACUCGCGACACUGGCCUGGCCCCCGCCCUUAUUCCCGGUUUUUCCCUGUUCCCCGUUUCCCGGCUUUUCUUUGUACCUCCUUCCCUAAAAUUUUCCC